GACGAACGCUGGCGGCGUGCCUAAUACAUGCAAGUAGAACGCUGAAGGAGGAGCUUGCUCUUCUGGAUGAGUUGCGAACGGGUGAGUAACGCGUAGGUAACCUGCCUGGUAGCGGGGGAUAACUAUUGGAAACAAUAGCUAAUACCGCAUAACAGUAGAUGUUGCAUGACAUUUACUUAAAAGGUGCAAUUGCAUCACUACCAGAUGGACCUGCGUUGUAUUAGCUAGUUGGUGGGGUAACGGCUCACCAAGGCGACGAUACAUAGCCGACCUGAGAGGGUGAUCGGCCACACUGGGACUGAGACACGGCCCAGACUCCUACGGGAGGCAGCAGUAGGGAAUCUUCGGCAAUGGACGGAAGUCUGACCGAGCAACGCCGCGUGAGUGAAGAAGGUUUUCGGAUCGUAAAGCUCUGUUGUAAGAGAAGAACGAGUGUGAGAGUGGAAAGUUCACACUGUGACGGUAUCUUACCAGAAAGGGACGGCUAACUACGUG
rnacentral:rRNA from 1 species